AUAUGCAAAAGCAACUAAUGUGGUGACAAAGAGCAUACCUACCAAUGCUGAGCUCGGGAUACUAUCGCACUCCAUGUUCCAGAAUUUCUGCAAGAACACUAAGAGCUGCAAACUAACGUAAGGAAAAUUCGUUCAUUGAUUGUCCAAGAAUAACAUUACCUGGACCGUAAUGCUUUAGACGGUAAAGACAAACAGCUCUGUUGCAGGUCAGCUCAAGCUGUACCAGUUUUGAUGUGCCAACAAUCCUUCGAGGAACGCAUGAUACCAUGUUCUGAUCUGGGAUACUUGUGUUUGGUCAUUACCCGUGGAGCAUUUUCUUUCCAAUCACAAUGGUGAGGAUUGUAAAUUAAAAAGCCCACACACUUAGAAGAUUUAUCUCAACUUCGAUUUGAACUAAGCUACAUGCAUAGUAGGAUUCACUUUGAGAUUGAAUUUCCUAUGGCAAGCAGUUUGUGAUUAUAAGUUUGGUCUACAGGUCAUGUUACAGCCACAUGAAUAAGGCUUAACACAAAAAGUAGCAUUGAUAUACAGAAGAUUCGGAGGAGCAUCUUGCACAUACCUACUCACCUUCUCCUGAAUACCAAUGACACCUUCGGUAGCAAGUCGGAGAUGGUGUUACAAAAUCACGGUGGUCCCCAGAUUACCCUGGAUAUGAUGUAAUUCCAAUCCGACCUUGAGUGAGUCCGAUCUGUCUAAAAGCUCAAAGAUAAGGGUUUCGAUCCAUCAAAACCAGGGGUUGCUUGAGCCCCAAGAUCAACACAAGCUGAAACGGAUAUACAUGAAACCACUCAUAACCAGAAGAAGAAGAAGAAAAACAUAGAGAAGAACGUAUGUUGCAACCAAUGCCAUCUCUAUUUGUGAUAAGAAAUGCAUGGAGGCAGACCCGCUAUUGACUUCCUUGCAUAAAUACAAAGAUGUCAAUUGUAAAAUCGUGCAGGAGGAAGCUAUCUCUUACUACACACUGGUGUGUAAAAUUACCCAUGGCAAGUAUUAUAGCUCUGUUCUUGCUUACACUGUCUUUCGGAGGAUUCUAACGAAAAUUGUUGAUCGAAGCCUUCCUCCAGGCCCGCCUAGAGUGCCGCUUCUGGGUCACUUGCAUUUGCUGGGUGUUCUUCCUCACAAAUCUCUCUCGGAUCUCUCAAGUAGAUAUGGCCCCGUCAUGUUGCUCUGGUUUGGUUUUGCUCCAACGCUUGUGGUCUCUUCCCCAGAUGCUGCAAGAGAAGUUCUGUGCACUCAAGAUCUUGCCUUUGCUUUAAGUAAGGACUUGGGCUGGACCAGCUAUGGUCCCUAUUGGAGAUUGAUGAGGAAGGUCACCACUGUGGAACUCUUCACUGCAAAAAGGCUCGAGGAAUCCAGAAUGGUGAGGCACACGCAAGUUUCGAAGCUCAUGGACUUUAUAGUCAAUAAUGGUCAAAACGGGAAAGCUCAAUCGACAUGAGAUUCCUUUUCUCCAUCCUCAACCUCAAUGUUGUGAGCUUGAUCACGUUUGGGAGAGAAUGUCACACUGGCUCUGUGGAGCUGAUGGAAGAAGUAAUGCAGCUGAUGGGCUUGUUUGUGUAGGGCGACUGCUUUCCAUUCCUCUCGUGGCUUGGCAGCCCCGUGAUCCGAAAGAUGAUCUCGGCUCACUCGAAACUCGAAUCUCGUGGGGGUCAGAAGAUCCAACACUUGGGCGACACACUGCACUCUCGGAAUGCAGCCGUUGGUGUUCCAGGUCUUCUUCAGCGUAUUGGGAUCUGUAGUGGUGUCUUUCCCAUGCUGUCGAGACUUGGUGGGAUUGAUGGUAUGAGCAUUGCUGAUGAUGAUCGUCUGGGGCCGUUGGCUGUUUGGUUGUCGCGUGGUAAAGCUGCCGGCCUCCUCCAUUGUUGGUAGCUGGGAGGCGUGGGGGUUCCUAGCAACGCACCACCAUCAUAGUCCAACUGGUGAAUGCUUGCGAUUGGGACUCCCGUGGUAAAGCUGCCGGCCCCUCCAUUGUUGGUAGCUGGGAGGCGUGGGGGUUCCUAGCAACGCACCACCAUCAUAGUCCAACUGGUGAAUGCUUGCGAUUGGGACUCCCGUGCUGAUGGUGUGUGCCCUAGAGAGGCAUCCUUCGAUCACGUCAUUCCGAUUCCAUUCGCAAGAACACCUGGCCUCUUGGUGCAUGAUGAGGAGUAGCCAGUGAGGACAAGGAAGAUUCUGUGCCUUGUUCCCAAGUUUAAUAUGGGGUUGGCACCCCAGAGAACCGGAAGGCACCGCAAAGUGAUCCACCGGGAACAUUUUAGUUGUACUGGGUCGUGUUUUGCAUACGAUCAUCCUGUUCUGCCACCUGUCCCCUUUCGGUGAUGUGAGUAAGAGGGCCGUGAGAGAGCCACAUUGCUAUGCCCCAAUCGUUUCGUAACAGCAAAGGCAGGAUGAUGAUAUGAGCAAGGUGGUGAUGCAACUUGAUGAGACAUUAGCCGGUCUUGAUGGGGAAAAUUUCAUGUACCUAGGCAGGCUGAUGAUGGCCUUGUGGUCUCGCAGUCGUGUUUAUAAACUUUUGUCCUUGUGGUCAUUGCUGGUAAUCGAUCAGUUGUCAUAGUCGUCUCACGUUCAUCGCCGUAGGUCUUCGCUGGUCAUUGGUGCCGGUCAUUGGCGAUUUGAAAUUUUCCUGCUGUUGGGCUCUCCAAGCUCCUCGGCUCCCUUUGCUCGCCAUUCACCAUGUAUGUUGCUCUCGAUAAGCAUCUGCCAUUUCUCGCCAUACCCAUCAUCUAGAAGCGCUCCUUGCCAAGAGAAGUUCAUACUCGCCCACAGUUCCUUGCCAGGAACAAGAGGCGACGCCAUAUCAACACGUUUUCCGUUCUACCGAGGCAUCCAAAUCCUCUCUGAGAGAAACACGCUUCGCUGCCAUAGCCGCACUUCACUCCUCGUCUAAGAGCAAGUAGACAUACGCCCAGCACCCAGCCUCUCCUUGUCGAAGAAAGAAGUCUCCGAGAGACCAGAACACCCUGUGAGAGUGAUGUCACGAAUUGAAACCCGUCACUGCUGCGGAGAUCUCGCCAGGCAGCUGUGGAUGUUCGCCAUCAAACCGUAAGCAUCUCCUUUGGCUCCCAAAUAGUACGACGAAAUUGUAAUAUAUUGGUCUUUAGCAGAAUGAAGAGGCCGAAGAUUUGAUGCGAAAGAUUGAAAAAGAGGAAGAGAGAGCGCACUACGAGGUUUGCCAUUUAGAUAUAACUUAAGGAGUGGUUUUAAUUCCGUGUUCCUUUUCUAGAAUCCAGCGGAUCAACUGACCUUCAUGUCGGCAAUGUUUGCCUCGAGCCACACGGGGCUGGUAGGCCUGGAAUGCUUCCUGGAGAUGGAGGCCGCAGGAAUUGCAUGUAUGCAUUGUAAACCUUGUUAUCGGUACCCUCUACUGCGCAAAACAAAACUUCGAGUUCGGUAUUAGCCGUAUCAUCAGAAGUCUGGAGCCUUAUGGGAAAAAGCUGGAAGCAGACACGUGGUUUUAUGCAAAGCGUUGCUUUCUUGCAUUGGUUGAUAGCCUUGCGAAACAGAUGAUCGUGGUAAGCAACAAAAGACGAGGCACGGAUUCAUGAAAUCUAAUCUCAAGUUUGCGUGAUGCAGUUGAAGGAUGCGACAUACGCCGACAUAGACGACUUUCUUGAUGCUGCGGACAGCCAAGGCAAGACUGUCUACACAUCCGUGGAGAGUCCCGGCGAGGGCCAGAACUCCAACACGGUCUCCAGAGAAGCCAGGCUGCUCAAGAGGAUGUUUCUGAAGAUUAGAGAAUGAGGUAUGUCCGUCCAUUAAGCUUGCUAGUUUCUAAGAUAACUUCAUUACAGGUAGGCAUGGCUUGCAAGCCUUGGUGUUGCAAAAACUUCAAGUGGAACCUUUCGUCUCACCGCCACUCCUUCCGAGAUCUCGUCCAUGCUCAGCUCCUUGCCACUGACCUUCCACUCGAACCCAUGGACGAGGCGAGCAAGAGUGUACGAAACCAUGGCUACGCCAAGAGACAAUCCGGGACAGAUCCUUCGACCAGAUCCAAAAGGCAGCAGCUCAAAGUUCUUCCCCUUGAAGCUGAUCGAGCUCUCCGCAAAUCUAUCCGGCUUGAAGAGAUUGGGAGACUCCCACAAGCUUGGAUCUCGUGCAAUUGACCAUACGUUGACCAAAACUCGCGAGUUCUUGGGGAUCUUGUAGCCGUUGACUAGGCAGUCUUGCGUUGAAUGGUGAGGGAGUAGCAAUGGCGCUGGCGGAUGCAAGCGGAACACUUCGUUGACAACAUUGUGGAUGUAGCUAAGCUUGCAAAGAUCGGCUUCCACCACCAUCCGCUCACGGCCCACAAUCGUGUCAAUCUCUUUUUGGGCUUUGAUCAUACAUGUUGGACUGUUCAUGAGCUCUGAAAGUGCCCACUCGGUAGUGAUGGCCGAAGUUUCAGUACCAGCAAGGAUCAUGUCCUUGCGAAGAGAAAAUAAGGUUAGCAUAACCAAAGGAAAUUAAACUUACCAUGAUCAUUGCUUUCACGCAUUGAACGUCAAUUUCUCCUUGGUCUUCCAAUGACAAAAGCACGUCAACAAAGUCACCCGCACGCUCUGAUGACUUGAAUUUAGACUUGUGCUCGUCCACGAUCUCUUGCAAAAGCUGGUCCAGUUUCGUGUGAGCCGAGAUCAUCUUUCGGAUCACGGGGCUGCCAAGCCACGAGAGGAAUGGAAAGCAGUCGCCCAACACAAACGAGCCCAUCAGCCGCAUUACUUCUUCGAUCACCUCCACGGAGCCAGCGUGAAAUUCUCUCCCAAACGUGAUCGAGCUCACAACAUUGAGGUUGAGGAUGGACAAAAGGACUUUCAUGUUGAUUGAGGCUUUCCCGUUUUGACCAUUAUUGACUAUAAAGUCAAUGAGCUUCGAAACUUGCGUGUGCCUCACCAUUCUGGAUUCCUCGAGCCUUUUUGCAGUGAAGAGUUCCACAGUGGUGACCUUCCUCAUCAAUCUCCAAUAGGGACCAUAGGUUGUCCAUCCCAAGUCCUUACUAUUGUAGAACACGUACUUGGCUACAGAUAUCUUUGGCCUUGAAGCAAAGGCAAGAUCUUGAGUGCACAGAACUUCUCUUGCAGCAUCUGGGGAAGAGACCACAAGCGUUGGAGCAAAACCAAACCAGAGCAACAUGACGGGGCCAUAUCUACGUGAGAGAUCCGAGAGAGAUUUGUGAGGAAGAACACCCAGCAAAUGCAAGUGACCCAGAAGCGGCACUCUAGGCGGGCCUGGAGGAAGGCUUCGAUCAACAAUUUUCGUUAGAAUCCUCCAUAGAAGACCAAAAGACAGUGUAAGCAAGAACAGAGCUACAAAACUUGCCAUGGAUAAAUUUACACACCAGUGUGUGCAAGCUUAUGUAGUAAGAGAUAGCUUCCUCCUGCACGAUUUUAUGAUGGUAACAUCUUUGUAGUUUUUCAAGGAAGUCAAUAGAAUUUAUGAAUUCUAUUGACUCUAUGAAUUUCUUAUCUCAAAUAGUGUUUAUUCUUCUCAUUGCAAACUAUUUUUCAGUCACUUAUAAGUUGAUAGUUUAAGGUUAAAGGAUACAAUCUUUGUCGUUACCUGGCUGGUCAUAAUGUAUGAAAUGCAGAGAUUCACGAGCACAAUUGCUGUGACACUGAGAAUGUCAUCUCCCGCUUUCUUUACAAUCGGUUCAUAGUAAUGGAUUGCUUCUUUGUAGCGAUUAUCCUGUUAGAUGCACAAUGAGCAUAGAUAGCAAAUACGAUUAGCUCACCUGCAUAAAGAAAGUGUGUGCGACAUUCAGUCGCCAAACAGGAUGAUCCGAACACAAGUCUGCUGACUGGUGGAAAAUACGCUCUACUUGCACGUAAUUUUCUUUGUCCCAGAAAAGCUUUGCAAUUGCCAUGAUGAUAGGUAUAUAAUACCAUAGAAGAGCCGAUGCUAGAAAAACAAAAGACAAAACAUUACGAACAUCUUACCUCAAGAGAGUCUUCAUACUCUGCCAUCGUGAGAAAGACAAGAAUCCUGGAUUUGUUUGGUGAGCCUGCGCAUGGUUUCACUAACGAUUUGCCAGCUCAUUCAUCUUUUGAUAUGCAUCCUGUCCGAUAGUCAAGCUUAUCUCAACAACAUCACAACUAACAAUAAUUGAAUAACUUCCGGUGAAAAUGAUGCAGUUAAAAGUCGUAGAGGUCCUGCAUAAUAUUAAAAGUAAAAAGACUAAUGCUUGUGAAUUUUAUGUGCUUCAAGCGUAACUGAGAUGGAUACUUGAAGAUAACUUCCGCAUGCUCUGCCAUUACAUCAGCAGCAAGGUCGUAGAAUCCAUGGGAAGGUUUACAAUACAGCAGAAGUAGAUUAGCCAAUGUCUCUGAAGGAAAUGGAGGAUUCUAUAGCGAGUGGUCAGAAUAAUCAUAAAAGAAUAAAAAUAUCUACCUGCAACAAAAAAUUAAGUUUACGGAAGCCUGAAACUUCCAUAUUCAUCAGGGCUUGAUUGUGAAGCGUGACCUGAGGAAAGGAAAAACAAAAAUAAACAACUUUCUGAUAGCGGAAGUAUCAGAAAGUACUGAGUCUAACUCUUCUUCUGCACGUGGUGGCAUGUCAGUGAGGUUUUCUUUUGCGGCCUCUAAAUUUCCAUUGACGUAGUCAAUGGCAGCCUAAACAAAGAACUAAAUCAAGUGAGUCAAAAAGAAUUUUGAUCGGACCUUCAAGUUGAAAGCUUCAACUGAUGCAGAUUCUUUGAGCGCUGGGCUGUUUCCAACGCUACAUAGCUCAAUGCCCUCUACGUGGCUUUACAAACAGAAAAUGUAUAGUCUAGAAUAUAUGCAAAAGCAACUAAUGUGGUGACCAAGAGCAUACCUACCAAUGCUGAGUUCGGGAUACUGUCGCACUCCAUGUUCCAGAAUUUCUGCAAGAACACUAAGAGCUGCAAACUAACGUAAGGAAAAUUCGUUCAUUGAUUGUCCAAGAAUAACAUUACCUGGACCGUAAUGCUUUAGACGGUAAAGACAAACAGCUCUGUUCUAAUCCAGCUCAAGCUGUGCCAGUUUUGAUGUGCCAACAAGCCUUCGAGAAACGCAUGAUACCAUGUUCUGAUCUGGGAUACUUGUGUUUGGUCAUUACCUGCGGAGUAUUUUCUUUCCAAUCACAAUGGUGAGGAUUCUAAAUUAAAAAGCCCACACACUUGGAGAUUUU
rnacentral:lncRNA from 1 species